GCCGUCUUAGCUCAGCUGGCAGAGCGCCUGACUUGUAAUCAGGGGGUCUUCGGUUCGAUUCCGGAAGACGGCU
rnacentral:tRNA from 1 species